UGGGGAAUCAUGGUCAAUGGGCGAAAGCCUGAACCUGCGACGCCGCGUGAGUGAUGAAGGUCGUAAGAUCGUAAAACUCUUUUCAGGGAUCUUAAAGCCUGUCUGUCAACAACAGGCAGGUCUGACUCUCCCUGGAAGGAGCCCCAGCCAACUACGUGCCAGCAGCUGCGGUCAUACGUAGGGGGCGAGCGUUAUUCGGAAUUACUGGGUGUAAAGGGUAUGUAGGCGGCCCUUCAAGUCGCGUAUCAAAGUCCAGUGCUAAACGCUGGGUGUGCACGCGAUACUGACGGGCUUGAGGGCUGGAGAGGUGAGCGGUAUUCCCGGUGUAGUGGUAAAAUACGUAGAGAUCGGGAGGAACACCAGCGGCGCAGGCGGCUCACUAGACAGUUUCUGACGCUAAGAUACGAAAGCGUGGGGAGCAAACA
rnacentral:rRNA from 1 species